rnacentral:rRNA from 1 species
GUAACGGCGAGUGAAGCGGCAACAGCUCAAAUUUGAAAUCUGGCCCCCUCGGGGUCCGAGUUGUAAUUUGUAGAGGGUGUUUCGGGCGCGAUGCCGGUCUAAGUUCCUUGGAACAGGACGUCGUAGAGGGUGAGAAUCCCGUAUGCGACCGGCGAUCAAGCCUGUGUGAAACCCCUUCGACGAGUCGAGUUGUUUGGGAAUGCAGCUCAAAAUGGGUGGUAAAUUUCAUCUAAAGCUAAAUAUUGGCCAGAGACCGAUAGCGGACAAGUAGAGUGAUCGAAAGAUGAAAAGCACUUUGGAAAGAGAGUCAAACAGUACGUGAAAUUGUUGAAAGGGAAGCGCUUGCAAUCAGACCGGUCCGGAGGUGAUCAGCCGCUGCUCGUCAGCGGUGCACUCGCCUGCGAUCCGGCCAGCAUCGGUUUGGGCGGUGGGAUAAAAGUCCCGGGAAUGUAGCUUCUUUCGGGGAGUCUUAUAGCCCGGCUCGCAAUGCCGCCCGCCUGGACCGAGGACCGCGCUUCGGC